rnacentral:rRNA from 1 species
GGUUCGAUCAUGGUCGAUUGAACGCUGGCGGGAUGCUUUACAUGCAAGUCGAACGGCAGCACGGACUUCGGUCUGGUGGCGAGUGGCGAACGGGUGAGUAAUGUAUCGGAACGUGCCUAGUAGCGGGGGAUAACUACGCGAAAGCAGAAGCAUACCGCAUACGUUCCUUCGGGGGAAAGCGGGGACCUUCGGCCCUCGCACUAUUAGAGCGGCCGAUAUCGGAUUAGCUAGCUGGUGGGGUAACGGCUCACCAAGGCGACGAUCCGUAGCUGGUUUGAGGACGACCAGCCACACUGGGACUGAGACACGGCCCAGACUCCUACGGGAGGCAGCAGGGGAAUUUUGACAAUGGGGGAAACCCUGAUCCAGCCAUCCCGCGUGUGCGAUGGAAGGCCUUCGGGUUGUAAAGCACUUUGGCAGGAAAGAAACGGCACGGGAUAAUACCCCGUGCAACUGACGGUACUCGCAGAAUAAGCACUGGCUAACUACGUGCCAGCAGCCGCGGUAAUACGUAGGGUGCAAGCGUUAAUCGGAAUUACUGGGCGUAAAAGCGUGCGCAGGCGGUUCGGAAAGAAAGAUGAAAUCCCAGAGCUUAACUUUGGAACUGCAUUUUUAACUACCGAGCUAGAGUGUGUCAGAGGGAGGUGGAAUUCCGCGUGUAGCAGUGAAAUGCGUAGAUAUGCGGAGGAACACCGGAUGGCGAAGGCAGCCUCCGGGGAUAACACUGACGCUCGCGCACGAAAGCGUGGGGAGCAAACAGGAUUAGAUACCCUGGCAGUCCACGCCCUAAACGAUGUCAACUAGCUGUUGGGCCCGCCCGCAGCGCAGCUAACGCGUGAAGGACCGCCUGUGAGUACGGUCGCAAGAUUAAAACUCAAAGGAAUUGACGGGGAUCCGCACGCUGUGGAUGAUGUGGAUUAAUUCGAUGCAACGCGAAAACCUUACCUACCCUUGACAUGUUCAACCGAAGAGAUUUGGGUGCUCGCAAGAGAACCGGAACACAGGUGUUGAGCGGUUGUCAGUUGUCGUGGUCGUGAGAUGUUGGGUUAAGCCCCGCAACGAGCGCAACUUGUCAUUAGUUGCUACGAAAGGGCACUCUAAUGAGACUGCCGGUGACAAACCGAGGAAGGGAUGAGACGUCAAGUCCUCAUGGCCCUUAAGGGUAGGGCUUCACGACGUCAUACAAUGGCUGGGACAGGAGGCCGCCAACCCGCGAGGGGGAGCCAAUCCCAGAAACCCGAUCGUAGUCCGGAUCGCAGUCUGCAACUCGACUGUGUGAAGUCGGAAUCGCUAGUAAUCGCGGAUCAGCAUGUCGCGUGAAUACGUUCCCGGUCUUGUACACACCGCCCGUCACACAUGGGAGUGUCUUACCAGAAGUAGUUAGCCUAACCGUAAGGAGGGCGAUUACCACGGUAGGAUUCAUGACUGGGGUGAAGUCGUAACAAGGCAACCCCAGCCACACCAUGCUCCCA